rnacentral:rRNA from 1 species
CAGGCCUAACACAUGCAAGUCGAACGAGACCUUCGGGUCUAGUGGCGCACGGGUGCGUAACGCGUGGGAAUCUGCCCUUGGGUUCGGAAUAACUCGCCGAAAGGCGUGCUAAUACCGGAUAAUGACGUAAGUCCAAAGAUUUAUCGCCCAAGGAUGAGCCCGCGUAGGAUUAGCUAGUUGGUGAGGUAAGAGCUCACCAAGGCGACGAUCAGUAGCUGGUCUGAGAGGAUGAUCAGCCACAUUGGGACUGAGACACGGCCCAAACUCAUACGGGAGGCAGCAGUGGGGAAUAUUGGACAAUGGGCGAAAGCCUGAUCCAGCCAUGCCGCGUGAGUGAUGAAGGCCCUAGGGUUGUAAAGCUCUUUUACCUGGGAAGAUAAUGACGGUACCAGGAGAAUAAGCCCCGGCUAACUUCGUGCCAGCAGCCGCGGUAAU